rnacentral:rRNA from 1 species
UACGUAGGUUACCAGCGUUGUCCGGAUUUACUGGGCGUAAAGAGCGCGCAGGCGGUCGGUCAAGUCGGGUGUGAAAGCCCCCGGCUCAACUGGGGAGGGUCAUUCGAUACUGAUCGACUCGAAGGCAGGAGAGGGAAGUGGAAUUCCCGGUGUAGUGGUGAAAUGCGUAGAUAUCGGGAGGAACACCAGUGGCGAAGGCGACUACCUGGCCUGUUCUUGACGCUGAGGCGCGAAAGCUAGGGGAGCAAACGGG